rnacentral:rRNA from 1 species
UGAACGCUGGCGGCAGGCCUAACACAUGCAAGUCGAGCGGAUGAAGGGAGCUUGCUCCUGGAUUCAGCGGCGGACGGGUGAGUAAUGCCUAGGAAUCUGCCUGGUAGUGGGGGAUAACGUCCGGAAACGGGCGCUAAUACCGCAUACGUCCUGAGGGAGAAAGUGGGGGAUCUUCGGACCUCACGCUAUCAGAUGAGCCUAGGUCGGAUUAGCUAGUUGGUGGGGUAAAGGCCUACCAAGGCGACGAUCCGUAACUGGUCUGAGAGGAUGAUCAGUCACACUGGAACUGAGACACGGUCCAGACUCCUACGGGAGGCAGCAGUGGGGAAUAUUGGACAAUGGGCGAAAGCCUGAUCCAGCCAUGCCGCGUGCGUGAAGAAGGUCUUCGGAUUGUAAAGCACUUUAAGUUGGGAGGAAGGGCAGUAAGUUAAUACCUUGCUGUUUUGACGUUACCAACAGAAUAAGCACCGGCUAACUUCGUG